ensembl:lncRNA
CCAUAUUGAAACACCACACUCAAAAAGGUAAUCAGCAGCACUGAAACAUUUCAUAAGCAGUUCUAAAGCACUGUGAGGACUAAGAAAUAUACAUUACUAGAUAGACUCUAACAUCCAUUAUAUAAGCCAUGGGUUGUAAUCAGCCAUACUGCAGCUUGGAUACUGACCCAGAAAAGUAUCAAACCGGGUCAAACCAUUCACUUCAAAAAAUGCUGUAGCAGAACUGCUUAACAUAUGAGAAAAUAUUUCUCUUAUUUCAAACUUAUGGCUGAUAUAUGGCUGUAGUACUGCUUUUGUUGCAGCAUUUAUGUACAUUAUUUAUCUGAAGGCAGCUCAUUGAGAAAGCCACUCAUUUUCAUUAGCCACUCAUAGAUCUUUUCUUUCAUCAGGUCUGAUUAGUGAAGUGAUUUGGCUUGUUAAAAAAAGGUUGAUGAUGAAGUCAAAGCAAUUUUAAUGGCAAAUGGACAGAGAAGUAUGCAUUCCUUAGUCUUCAAAUCUAAUCAGUCGUCAGUUCAGUGUCAAAUUGAUAUCUCUUAUUUAUAGCCAUGAACUAAUCACUAAUGGUGAAGUAUUAAAAGGUAAUUGUUGUUGCCAUUCAGUCAUGUUAACUGCUUAUCUGGACCUUUGUAAGCAAGGAAUUUUAUGUAGCUGAACCUGCACAAAUUUCACUUGAAAAGCCCUGAUAUAAGCUUAUACCUAGGAUAUUCCACCUCAAUGGCUGCAGGCUUUGCCCAUGUAUUUUGUAAUAAAGUAUUUCAGUGGACUUCAAAGAAGGCAGAGGAAGAUUGCGUAUGAAAUUCCUACCUAUUGAAACCAGACUAAAUGUGCGAGACAAUCGUAAGUCCACAUUGCUCCUCUUAAGUCAUCUGAGUUAUCUGUCUCUCCCAGCACUCUGGAACUCAUGUCUUUUGGAGAAGUGAGAAAAUCCUAAUUCCCACCUGACAAAGGGGCAUAUUGGACAUGUAGAUAGUGCUGAAUAUCUUAGAGCACUUAUUUCAGAAGUGAAGAUGGGCAGUGAAGGUCAUUACUUUUGAAGACUAGAAGUUUAGAAGACAGGAACUGCUGCGCAUCCCUGGUUUUUAAGACUUCACAUUAGCGGAAGGAGGAGUCGCGACGCGAGCUCCAAAAUCCAACGGAUAGUCGGACCUGGAAGACAGAGCAAGAGAUAGAGCAGCGCUCAUCUCUGGCUCUUCUUCCGGAUCCAUAAGAGAUCCCCGGAACUGUGAUGGCUAGCUGCCUCGGCAGUGGCCGGCCCAGAUCCGUGAGGCUCUGAAACCCAACUCGCUUCGGCUUCCGAUGAAGAGCGCAAGUCGCGAGCCGAGCUGCCUAAAGGUCGCGGGGGAACCUGGAGCCUAUCCCAGGGAGCAUCAGGCACAAGGCGGGGUACACCCUGGACAGGGUGCCAGUCCAUCGCAGGGCACACUCACACACUCACACCCAUUCAUACACUAUAGACACUUUAGACACACCAAUCAGCCUACCAUGCAUGUCUUUGGACUGGGGAUGGAAACCAGAGUACCCGGAAGAAAUCCCCGCAGCACGGGGAGAACAUGCAAACUCCGCACACACAGGGCCCUGGCAGGAAUCGAACCCCGGAUCCUGGAGGUAUGAGGCGAACAUGCUAA